rnacentral:rRNA from 1 species
UACGAAGGGGGGCUAGCGUUGUUCGGAAUUACUGGGCGUAAAGCGCGCGUAGGCGGUUUUGCAAGCCAGAGGUGAAAUGCCUGAGCUCAACUUAGGAAUUGCCUUUGGGACUGCGAGGCUUUGAGGACGGGAGAGGUGAGUGGAAUUCCCAGUGUAGAGGUGAAAAUUCGUAGAUAUUGGGGAAGAACACCGGUGGCGAAGGCGGCUCACUGGCCCCGUUUUCUGACGCUGCAGCGCGAAAAGCGUGGGGGAGCAAACAGG